UACGGAGGGUGCAAGCGUUAUCCGGAUUCACUGGGUUUAAAGGGUGCGUAGGUGGGCAAGUAAGUCAGUGGUGAAAUCUCCGGGCUUAACCCGGAAACUGCCAUUGAUACUAUUUGUCUUGAAUACUGUGGAGGUCAGCGGAAUAUGUCAUGUAGCGGUGAAAUGCUUAGAUAUGACAUAGAACACCAAUUGCGAAGGCAGCUGGCUACACAACUAUUGACUCUGAUGCACGAAAGCGUGGGGAUCAAACAGG
rnacentral:rRNA from 1 species